rnacentral:rRNA from 1 species
AUGGGAAAAUCCACCUUGGCACAACAUGUUUACAAUGACAAGAGGGUACAAGAACAUUUUGAUGUCCGGAUGUGGGUGUGCAUCUCACGCAGACUUGAUGUCCGUCGUCAUACACGGGAGAUCAUCGAGUCCGCGGCCAAGAGGGAGUGCCCGCGUGUUGAUAAUCUGGAUACUCUCCAGUGCCAACUAAGGGACAUGCUGCAGAUAUCAGAGAAAGUCUUGCUUGUGUUGGAUGAUGUUUGGUUUGAUGAUUCGAGCAGUCAGAUGGAAUGGGACCAGCUGUUAGCACCUCUGGUUUCACAGCUCAAGGGGAGCAAAGUUUUGGUAACUUCUCGACGGGAUACAUUUCCCUGUGCUCUUCGCUGCGAAAAGGUGCUCCGGUUGGAUACCAUGGAAGAUACUCAGUUCCUUGCACUCUUCAAAUACUAUGCCUUCGCUGGGGCAGAAAUCAUAAACCUUUCAUUGCUUGAAAGGCUAGAAGAGAUUGCAGAGAAGAUAGCUAAAAGGCUUGGACAGUCUCCCUUGGCUGCAAAAGUGGUGGGUUCGCAGUUGAAAGGGAAAAUGGAUAUCUCUGCCUGGAAAAAUGCUCUAACUUUAAAGAUUGAAAACUUAAGUGAGCCCAGGACAGCCCUGUUGUGGAGUUAUCAGAAGUUAGAUCCACGUCUUCAGAGGUGCUUUGCAUAUUGCAGCUUGUUUCCAAAAGGGCACAAAUAUGACACUGAUGAGUUGGUUCACCUGCUUGUAGUGGAGGGACUUGUUGAUUCAAGCAACCAGAAUAGGAGAAUGCUAGAUAUUGGAAAGGAUUACAUCAAUGAGAUGGUCUCUGGAUCUUUCUUGCAACCAGUUUCUAGUAGAUUUCAGGGCACAUACUACAUCAUGCAUGAUCUUCUUCAUGAUUUGGCAGAGUCACUCUCUGAACAAGACUGCUUCAGAUUAGAGGAUGAUAAGGUGACAGAAAUACCAUGCACCGUCCGACAU